ACAGUAGCCGCAACAGCAGCAGCAGUCGGGCGCACCGACCGAAGCAUGCUCCAGCGCAGCCAUGACUUGCUCGGCGUCAGAUAGCGAGAAGAUCGUGAUAAACUGCGGCGGGAUCCGACACGAGACCUACCGGAGCACCCUGAAGACGCUGCCGGGGACGCGCUUGUCUUGGCUGACUGAACCCGACGCCUUCAGCAACUUCGACUACGACCCCAAGUCCGACGAGUUCUUCUUCGACCGCCACCCAGCCACCUUCGCCUUCAUCCUUAACUACUACCGCACCGGCAAGCUCCACUGCCCCAAUGAUGUGUGUGGGCCGCUCUUCGAGGAGGAGCUCGCCUUUUGGGGCAUCGAUGAGACGGACGUGGAGGCGUGCUGCUGGAUGAACUACCGGCAGCAUCGCGACGCAGAGGAAGCCCUGGACAGCUUCGAGCAGCCCGAGCCGGACGCACCUGAAGAUGACCCGGCGCUCACCGGUGGGGCUGACGGCGACCUGAAGCGGCUGUGCAUGCAGGAGGACGGCCGCAGGGCGACGUGGUGGGAUGUGGUGAGGCCCAACAUGUGGGCGCUGUUCGAGGACCCCUACUCCUCCAAAUACGCCCGGUAUGUGGCACUUGCCUCACUCUUCUUCAUCCUCCUCUCCAUCUCCACCUUCUGCCUGGAGACCCAUGAAGCCUUCAACACCAUCUACAACAAAACAGAGAACAUCACUGUUGGCAACGUGACGCAUGAGGAGAUAGUGUAUGAGGUAGUCACAGAUGGCUGGCUGACAUAUGUGGAGGGCGUCUGCGUCAUUUGGUUCACCAUUGAGGUGGUGGCGCGUGUCAUCUUCUGCCCUGACAAGGCAGAGUUCUUCCGCAGCGCCCUUAACAUCAUUGACUUUGUGGCCAUUGUGCCCUUUUACCUGGAGGUGGCGCUGAGCGGCCUCUCCUCCAAAACAGCCAAAGACGUGCUGAGCUUCCUGCGUGUGGUGCGCUUUGUACGUAUCCUGCGUAUAUUCAAGCUGACCCGUCACUUUGUCGGUUUGCGGGUCCUGGGCCACACUCUGCGGGCGAGCACCAAUGAGUUCCUGCUGCUCAUCAUCUUCCUGGCGCUGGGCGUCCUCAUCUUUGCUACCAUGAUCUACUAUGCUGAACGCAUUGGUGCCGACCCAGAUGAUCCGACAGCCGCGGCCCACACCAACUUCAAGAACAUCCCCAUUGGGUUCUGGUGGGCUGUCGUGACCAUGACCACGCUGGGCUACGGGGAUAUGUACCCUGAGACAUGGUCAGGAAUGCUGGUGGGUGCCCUCUGCGCCUUGGCUGGAGUGCUGACCAUCGCCAUGCCUGUGCCCGUCAUUGUCAACAACUUCGGCAUGUACUACUCCCUGGCCAUGGCCAAGCAGAAGCUCCCCAAGAAGAGGAACAAGCACAUCCCCCGAGCACCCCAGCCCGGCAGCCCCAACUACUGUAAGCCAGACGCCCUGGCCAUGGCAACUGCCUCGCCGCACAGGCUGAUGGGCAAUGUGCUCGGGCCAGGCAUGGUGGGAUCAGGCAGCAUGAUGGGUACUGGAGACUGCCCACUGGCACAGGAGGAGAUCAUUGAGAUCAACAGGGCAGAUUCCAAGCAGAACGGUGAUGCAGCAGCUAAUGCUGCGGCCCUGGCCAACGAGGACUGUCCCACCAUCGACCAGGUCCUCGGGGACGAACGUAGCCCGGCCACCGGGGGCCUCGGCUCCACCACCAGCCGUGAACGAUACCCGCACGACAGGGCCUGCUUCCUGCUGAGUGCCGGGGAGUUCCAGCGCACGACGGACGGGAACGUUCGAAAAGGAGGCGCUGUGAACGGCUACUGGAGCGACAGUCCGUGGUAGAAGAAGAGUGGACGACAAACAACCACAAGGGAAGAAGAGAGAGAACAUGACAACAGAGACAGCGUUUUAAAAAAAACAUAGAAAUAUGCAAUGUAGAUAAAAGAGACAGCAGUGGUUGGAUCUGUGUGUUUCUGUUUAGUUAUGUCGUAUUUGUGGCUCUCGAGUGUGCACAUGGAUGUUUGUGUGUGCAUGUGUGUGUGCCCAGACCUGCAUCUACCUCUGUACUAAGAUGCACAAAUGUGGGAAAAAUACAUUUUCCUUUCUUUUUACUUUUGCAAGACCCUAAAGGAAGAAAUAAUUAUUUCAGAUUAGAUUUGGUUUAUUAGUUGUUAAUAAUCAGUUUUUUUUACAUGAUGAUGUCAUCUUUCUGUCAGAGUGUAUUUUUUUGUUUUGUUUUUUUGCUUACAAAACUGUUGAGCUGUUGCAUUUUCUGAUGUUGCAGAAAUUUAUUUGGUUUCAGGACAACAAUGUCAGACAUGUUUAUAGCUAGGCAGUAUUUCUGUGUCCUCAUCUCUCACUGUCACCUUCCUUCUCUCUCACCAGAAAGUAGAGAGAGCUUUCAGCCAGCAGGAAAUCCUUCUUUUUUGAUUUCUAUAAGAUUCCCAAAAGAAAACUAUCUGAUCACUUACUGCCCAGUGAACUUUGACUCUGUUUAGUCAAGAAUAUCCUUAAAUGGUUCACUUACAUGAAGUUCUGUUUGUCUCUUAACGAUUCCUAAGAAUUCAGAAACUAAUGUUCUCUAUCGUCUUGAGACUAUCUCUCCAUUACAUAUUUCAUAUGCACCGGGUAGCUGGAGAGAUAGUCUCUCUACUCAGAGAACCACGGUUACAACAUAACCGUCCGUUUCUCUGCUCUGAGGUAUCUCCUUUCUGCUACUUUUUUUCUUUUUCUUUAUUUUUUUACGUUCAAGCUGGUCACGUUGGCAGGUGAGAGCACCAAAUGAGGAGACUUUGAGCAUAUAAUUGUCUAUUUAGAGGAUUCAUUUUGGGAAAACUUUUUUUUGUGUGCUUUGUUUGGAGCUAUAGCCAGAGAGUAAUUUGCCUAGCUUAGUUGUAUUUACCUGCCUGGCUCUGUCCCAAUGCAAAAAACAAUGCAUUUGACAUGGACAGAAGAGCAAUGUAAAAUUACAUACAUGCAAUUUAUGAUUUUAACAAUGUACAACUUUUUGUGUACAGAAUAAUCAAGUGUUCAUUAAUGAGCUUUAGAGGUGCCGGGGUGCAAGAUUUUGGACAUUUUUGUCCCUAUAGCUGUUUCCCCUUUCUUCUAGUCUAAGCUAAAGUGAUUGCCUGUUGGCUCUUGCUCUGCACUGCACAGGCAUGACGGUUUUGCAGGAUUGUAUGUUUCCUGUUUAGCCUCAUGUUUCCAGUUUUCCUCAGGAGUCUAGCUGAAUCCUGAUUUAUGUACAAAUUAAUGAUUUAGAGGUUUGAAUCCAAUGAAAUGUCCAAAUAAUUUCAACCCCCCACUCCUAUUCGACACACCAGGCACACACAAACAAACACACACACAUAGAUGUAAACACACUCCAUUCUCUCUACUGAACCUGUCAUUUCAUCUACUCCUCAUGCUCCUGUCCCUUACAAAUGUUCACUUGUUGUGAGUGUGUGUCACUUUCCCUAAGGCCACUGCUGAUUGGUUGUCAUUAUGAUGUACAUAUGUAUAGUUUGCGUUGUAUAUGAAUCUGCAUGGUUUUCCAUUGCAAGCAAUAAGGAUACUGAUAUGACUAAUAAUGUGAGGAGGUUUGAUAAGAUUUUAGUCUAAAUCUAAUGAAUGUGUAUAUAACAUUUAGACUACUAAGAGUGUGUAUGGAUGUGUGUGUUAAGAUGCAUACAUAUGCACUAACAAAGCAUGCAGGACAAAAAAUGUUCACCUCUUUGAAUGCAAGAAGAGGUGGAAUGGGCUGACAUUAUGCAUGCCAAAAUGCUAUGAUGCUAUUGGUCAGAAGAGACCAAGUUAGGUACUGUAACGGGACCGGGUGGGGGUGGGAAAGUUUAUUUUUGCAGGACGGGUAGGGGUUACAUUUCUAGUAGGUCUUAUAUAGCUGCUUUCUUAUCAAACUUGAGAGACUUAUGAUAAGAGAAACAUAUUAACAAUGGUAGCUUAUGAUUUUUUUCUUCUUUUUUGCUUCUCUUUUCACAGAGAACUGUUCUGAAAGCCCUGCGCUUAUCAGAUAUAUGCAAAAAGAAGCAGUAACUGUGAACUAAUGCUAAGACAUGAAAAAAAAAUCCAGCUUCUUCCAUCAUUGUCUCAACUUCUCUUCUGCAAGAGAGAGGCGAGACCAUUCUCCUCCCAAGAUGCCUCCUUACCAAAACUUCCCUGUCCAUCGUCUCAUUCCUCAUCCGCUUUUUCAUUGUCCGUCUGUCUGUGACUCCAUCCUGCCCAUGUCAUGUUUCAUUUCCGUCUGUCCUUUUUAUAUUCACUUGCAUUUAAACUGCAGUGAGUUCAAAAGAAGGAUACCUCUGCAAUGUGAGAAUUCGAUGAUUCAGUACAAGUUCCCACAAAGGAUGAGGAUCAGGUCCAGAUUAACCUGCCAGGGGGCCUCGGGCAAAACUGAGCUAAGGGCCCCUUUCAGCAAAACUCUCAUUCUUUAUGUUAGAUUGAUUCAAACACUGAAAGAAAAUUUAUUUAAGAAUAUUCACCACACAAGCAUAAUGCAUUAACGGCCCAGACAAGAACUUUAUGAUACACUUUCUGACUUCGGAUCUGUUGGGAAAAUUUUCCAGCGAUACUGUCUGUAUAGAGAGAAGAGACACUAAAUGAAGUGGCUUGUCUAUCAGUCUGUUUUUUGCCGUAAUGACGUCAGGGUGACCUUUUUCACUUCUUUUGUCCGGUACAACACAUUACACCAGGUUUAAACGGACCGCAAAACAAACAUUUUAAGUCAUGACUCACUGUAAAAGAUAGACUUGAAAAACCUCACGUAACUGUAAGGACACAAAAACCAUAAUACAACACUCUCCCUAAGAACCUACUAUACUCAGCUGUUAUAAAUGUCUCGUCCUCGAUUAUAAGCUAAUGUAACCUUGACUUUUUCAAACAUAAUCUCUAGUCUUCCAGUAUUAACUCCAGAAUCAAUAGGUGUAAAUCAGUUAUGCAGUCAAGACAAACUGCUAUGACAGGACGCUCAAAAAGGCAAGAUCAUUGAAGAAAUUAUUGUUGCGGACAUUGCACCCAUCCACAGAGGAGAUGGCACACUAUUUUUGCCGGAAGCAUGCUGGGAGCUUAAGGUCAUGACCAUUUUAGUUUUAGAAGUGCGUUCAUGUUAGACAAUUUUUACGCCUCACAAUCCUCAACUGUGCCAGUGCAGGAAACAGCAUGUUUUUUUUUGUUAUAUAGGCUGCAUUCUGUGUGAAAGUGUCAUUUAAAUGGCCCAUUUGUGUGAUUUCAUGUUUUGAACUUUCACAACACAAUGUAGACUUUUUCCAGAACGUUUUUUAUGAUCUUGACAUUUCCAACUGCACUUGAAGGCAGUUCUAUGUCACAGAAAACACGUAAGGAGUCUUGUUCUGGAGCUGGUCGCAGGAAACGCGUCAUCAAAUUCUCCACAGAAUUGCUCCAACUGUUGGGGGUAAAUACUUGUUUUUGUAUUUUUUUUUUACUUUUCUUGAACCAAAGUUGUUUUUAACCAACCAAGGAAGGGAUGUUUACUCCCUAGUUAUGUAUUUUGCCACGGCAUUAGUUUUGCUGUUUAUCCAAAACAAUCUUUACCUACCAGUCACCACAUAUUUUAAAGCCUCACCUUAUCAGUUAUUGCCCAUAAUAUUGAUCUUUCCCUCGCUUUAUGCAUAAUGUAGGUACCAUGUAUAGAUAUUAUUAAAUUAUUAAAUAUUUUAUUAUUAUAAAACUUAUAAAGCAUUGGCACCGGAUGUUGUCAUUGGUUUUGCAGGAUCGAUUGAGUGAUGACGAACCACAUUGCAGAGGCACCCUUCAAAAUAAAAUAAAAAGUAACUUUGUCAAGCUUCUGCCCCUUGUUGCAGAUCUCUCUUUUCCAUCCAUUACAACUCAGGUAUCUCUUUCUCAAUCUCUCCUUUUGUGCCCCUGUGCUCCUGUUGGCCCUUUUAAUCCUCAAACAUGUACUGUAUGUGUGAAAAAGGUAGACAUAAGUAAAAAAAAAAAAAAAAAAAAGUUGAGUUCUCCUCACCUUUCUGUCCCUGUGAAUGCCAUGUGCUCUGUUUUGUGGCUCUUGCCCCCCUCCUUCAGAAAUGCUAUUUUGCUUUACUUGUCCAACUGUGCUUCCUGUCUUCUCCUUGUGGUGUUACUUUGUCUUUCCACCCUCUCUCAACAACUUCCCUCUUUCGCUGAGAGCCCCGCCCCCCAACACACCAUCCAUCUUUCCACCCUGAAGUCUGUCACAGCAAAAACCAAAAAGGAAUCACAUAAAAUUGGAGCACCUUCGUAGAAAGAAUGAGAAAAAAAGUUUGGCCAAAUACUGGAAUUAACCGAGGAUGAAGACAGGAACAGACGUUUAAAUGGUUGAAAAAGGCUGCAGUGGUAUAUUGUAGAUGGGGAAGAGGGGAAAAUGUGCUGUGAAAUGAUGUGUUCUGAGUGGAUUGUCAACCGAGCAACAUCAGAGGGAGGAGAUGGAGGAGGAAAAGUUUGGGGAAGACAGAAAAGUGUGGUGAUGAUGAUGAUGAGGAGGAGGAGGAGGAGGAAAGAAAGAAAGAAGCAAAAUCGCUUCUCCAUUGCUGAGUUUCUAAACCCCCCUAUCUCUACAAGAAGAGGAAAACAAUAAACUUUGAAACCUCUGCUCCUCCAUCUCCCCCAACUGGAUUCACUGUAGAAAACAGGAGGGAGAUAGAGACAAAGAGAAAAAGAAGAUGAGCGGUAGAAAUCAUCACUGACACUGAACAUUUCCAUCACCUGUGUGACAUAUUCAUACGUAACCUUGUCGACCGUCCCAAUGAAGAAAAUGGUUGCAAUCACAUACAAGCUAUUUUGAGAUGGGGGAGAAAACAUUUCCACCUCUACUGAACUGCUUUUCAGAGCAAACCACGACAUGGAUGCUCCCAGCGUAGCGGCCAGAGGGCCUAUGACAGACUUGGAAUUGGAAACCAUGCAACAAGGACGUCCUCUAUUUUAGCUGUGUUGUUGCUUUACUCUUUAUUUCAAGAAGCUGAAUUCACAACUGUUGAUUUCUAGUGGACGUUCCAUUUUUUUGGCACUCAAAGCACUAUGCAAGGUGGUCCAUUGUGAUGUCUAACUGCUCUGGCAGAGUCUGAUCAAGUAUUGGCACUGGGCUGCACAGGCCGGGCUGCCCUGCUUAUCCCUGCUGAGCUACAGGACCUUUAACAGCAGGCUGAAAUCUAUAAUCUAUAUCAUACAUAUCAGAAAACAUCAGCCAUAUCACGUGUAUAUUUGACAUGAUCCUGAUCAUGUAUUUAUUAUCAUUUGAAUCUUCCAGGAGACAGUUGACAUCUUGGGACUUCAUGUUCAGCUAAAGUCAGUUUGAAUACUGAGAUCUCAGCAAAUGUUUUCAUCCACCUUGUGAUGGAACUAACCCAAAGACAGACACACGGAUGGACGUACCAGUUGGGGCAAACAGUCGCUCCCAAAGACAAAAAAACUGUCCGGAACAUCUGCGGUGAAAGGAAAAGGAGGUGUCACGGAAAACGAAGAUGUGGUCGACCUUCUUUCUCUCUUUCUCACUCUCUUUUUCCCUUUCGAGUGUUUACGGUGUCCUGACCGCUCCCCCCUCCCUGCAUCGCUGCUGCUCCUCCUCUUUAGCAAAACUGCAUGGCAUGAAUGAAACCAAUUAAAACCUGAAGAAAGACAGUCAAAGACACAAAGGAUGGAUUUAAAAAAAGUGUGUGUGUGUGGGAGGGGGACGCAAGGAGUCCUUGAGAGAGACCCUAGAUUUCUUUUCUUUUUUUUCCUACGCAGCAAUGUCAAUGCAAGGUCAUCACCAUCAUCCAAGCUACUUUUUAACCCCCCAAACUGGCUGCUAAUAUGUGCAAAACAGCAUCUCCUGCAGCAAACUGCUCUCAGAAGACAUGAUGGAUGAGGAGGAGCUCCCUCUCCCUCUGAGGGAGAGAGGAGGAGCAAAGGAGAUUCUGCAGACCAUACACUCUAUACCUCUGGGGAUGUGGGGCAAGAAGAUAGAGGCUUUUUAAGCAGGUAUUCAGCAGGAGCGCGAGAAUAUCUUCGAGAAACUAUUCUAGGGACAAAAAAAAGGCAACGAUUGCAAAAUUAGAAAUGCAUUUUUAUGACAUUGUUUACCAGCAUGAAUAUUCUGCAUGACUUCUGCAAGCCAUUCUGAUCUCCCCCAUGAAUAACAGGGCUAGAAAUUGAGAAUUUAAAAGUGAAAAUUUAACAAAAAAUGUGUUAUAUGCAACGAAUUAAAAAAAAAAAAUAGGAUUAUGUUUUUAAAAAAAGAUUUUCUCAAUUUUGUUUUUAAUGGUAGAAUACAAAUAAUUAAGAAAAAAGGGUUGCAACAUCUACCCUGUUUUGUUUUCUCUAAGAAAUCUUCGGAGACCCCCCCUCCCAUCCCCCCACCCCCUCUUUAAAAUCCAAGAAGACUCCUCCCAACUUCUGCAAGUAUUUAUUCUGCUACUACAAGUUCGUCUACUACUACUUCAAUUUCUCACCUGGCUGCUACUCUACUUCUUCUUCCUCCUCUUCUUCUUCUCUUUCUUCUUCCUCUUGUAGCCUUUUACCAGAACCCUUAUACACAACUCUCUCCGAUGGCAGCUGUGUGUGUCUGUGUCAUAAAGUGGACACGGGACUAAAACUGAUGUUGAACUGAACUGUGCUGUCCACUCAGAGAUGUCAUUAAUUUCAUGUGUUUUAACUGAAAAUGUUUGCUGUCCCAUUCUUUGGAACUUUUUCUUGACCUUGAUAUCCAAGACAACACUACAUUUUCAUGGUUAGAAAGGUCAUCUGAAGUCUGGGGUCAAGGAUUAGUCAGGAAAAAAAGGUAAAAGUCAAGUUUGUUACCCACACAGUGAUCCAUGAUGGCUGCCUCAUCAUCCAGAGCUGUGACUCCACUAUCCUCCAUUUACGUCAAAAGAAAAAUUGCUUUUUUAGAGUCUUUUCAGGGUUAUUAGAUGGGGUUAGGGUUAAAAUUAUGAUUUGUAUUCUGCAUGUACCACUGAAAUACCAACAAAUGCACGACUGUAGUCUAGAUACUCCAACACCAACAUCAUACAUCCACCAUACUUACCUAAGAAAAUUUGGAAGCCACCAACACUUGAUCAGAUUUUUAAGUUUUAACUUUUCAAUUAUAUGAAAUGAUAUCCCCCUACAUUACAGCCUGAUAACUAUUUUUUCGUGAUGCAGAUCCAAGCACUGAAACAUUUUGUUGAUAUUGUGAGUUGGACAAUGUGCAGGAUUUUUUUCUUUUCAAGUGAAAAUAAUCAUAAUGGAUGUGUCACUAAGACUUUAUGGUGUACAAAAACCUUCUUGAAAUGUUGGCCUGAAAAAUCAGAAUCAGUCAACAUGUGUAGUCAAAGACUGUGCCCUCUUUCCUUCGCUGACGACUUCUGUGGUCUCCAUGGCAGUCAUGGAACUGACCAAACACAAGGAAAGAGAAUAUGUGGUUCAGGACAUUCAAGGGCUUCUUGGAAACAUCUUGCCUGAAACACAAACUGAAUAAUGUAAUUUGCAAAUGAUUGCUCUAGUAUCUUCUCUGUCAGAGAAUCAGACUGUCCCAUAAGGAAUUCUCCUGUGUAUUGAUGGGGGAUAGGGCUGGGUGAUUGUAACUCAAAGCCACAAGAAACCAUCAUCAAUCUGUUUUAUUUAAAGACUUCCUCAUAGUCAAAACCUUCCAACUUUUGAAGCAAUUUCAUCAGAUUCAGAUGCUCUUCAUCUGCAAUCAGAAAUCCAAAAUACCUCCAAAUUACAGAACCAAUUUUUUUUCUGGCUCUUGCUAGUGUGCAAGUUAAGGCAACAUCAAAAGAUAUGAUAUAUCGGUAUAGCUGUAUUCUCUCAACUACAUAUUCUAAAAAUAUAUUGUUAUAACUCAUAAUACUGAUAUACUGCCCAGCCCUAGAUGGAGGUAAUCAUUUAUUAACCCUAUUUGAGUAAGUACAGUUAAAUCUCCCAUAAUGUUCAAAUAUUAACAAACAUUUAUGCUUUUUUUCUGCAAAAU